AUGACCACAGACAGUCCCUCUGUAGGAGACAGUGUGCAGGGUACAGCGAAUGCUAAAGCCCAGGACUAUAAACCUUCUCAGUUCUCUGGAGGAUCAGCUGAUGAUGCAAAGCCUCCUCUCUAUGGAAAUGAUUUCUCUGCUCUCAACACACUGAAAACAAAGACUUUUGGUGGAGGAACCAAACUCAUCAUUCACUCUGGCCCCAUGGUCAGACCCUCAGUCUCUCUGCUUCAACCCUCCUCUGAGAAGCUCUCUGGAGGCCCAGUGACACUGGCCUGCCUGCUGACCGGCUAUUCUCCUCAGGGAGCUGAAGUGAGAUGGGAAGUAGAUGGCACAGAGGUGACAGAGGGGGUCCUGAACAGCUUAGAAGAAGAGAAGAGUAGUCGCUACAGCAGCAGCAGCACCCUGAUGCUGAGCCAAGAGAACUGGAUGAACGCAGAGGUGUUCUCCUGCAGGGUGAACCAUCAUGACCACCGGCAGGCCAAGUCCUUCCUCAAGAACCGGUGUGAGGGCUAG